GCCCAGAUAGCUCAGUCGGUAGAGCAGGGGACUGAAAAUCCCCGUGUCGGUGGNGGUUCGAACCCCUUCCAGGUC
rnacentral:tRNA from 1 species